rnacentral:tRNA from 1 species
GCCGUCUUAGCUCAAUGGUAGAGCGUCGCGUUGUGGCCGCGAAGAUUCAGGUUCAACUCCUGGAGACGGUU